UACGAAGGGGGCUAGCGUUGCUCGGAAUCACUGGGCGUAAAGCGCACGUAGGCGGACUCUUAAGUCAGGGGUGAAAUCCUGGAGCUCAACUCCAGAACUGCCUUUGAUACUGGGAGUCUUGAGUUCGGGAGAGGUGAGUGGAACUGCGAGUGUAGAGGUGAAAUGCGUAGAUAUUGGGAGGAACACCAGUGGCGAAGGCGGCCACCUGGACGGUAACUGACGCUGAGACGCGAAAGCGUGGGUAGCAAACAGG
rnacentral:rRNA from 1 species